CCCUAUCCCGCGGACCCCGAGGGAUCGACCCCUGGAAGUCUCUGCGCGGUGACCCCACAACCGGCCGCCGUCCACCUCAAAGUUCAACUACCGUUCUACGAUUUACAGGUUCCUCGGCAUUAUAAGGUGAUGGGAUAUCAGCCGGUUGGGACACACUCGCUCUCCUACCACUCCCCACGGCCGGCACGCCCACUGAGGAGCGGGGCCGA